CAAGCUCGACAGAGAACCGGGUGGAUGCCUUGGCGCUGAAGGCCGAUGAAGGACGCGGAGACCGGCGAAACGUUCCGGGGGAGCUGCAUGCAAGCCAUGAGCCCGGAGAGUCCGAAUGGGGCAACCCCUCCAGAGUGAUGUCUGGAGACCGCCUGCUGAACACAUAGGCAGGAGGGAGGCAAGUGGGCGAACUGAAACAUCUCAGUAGCCUGACGAGAAAAAAUCAACCGAGAUUCCCCAAGUAGUGGCGAGCGAACGGGGAGGAGCCCAAACCAUGCCAUCUUCGGAUGGGGUGGGGUUGUAGGACCAGCAGCACGAUCACGACGGAUGUACGCCAACAGGCUGGAACGCCUGGCCAGAGACGGUGAGAGCCCGGUUGCGAGUCCAUCGGUGUGAUCCGACUGGUAUCCUGAGUACCACGAACCCCGGUGAGUUUGUGGGAAGCUGGGGGGACCACCCUCCAAGGCUCAAUACCUUCAGCGACCGAUAGUGAACUAGUACCGUGAGGGAAAGGUGAAAAGUACCCCGCAAGGGGGAUGAAAGAGACCCUGAACCCCGGUUCUCACCAGCCGUCAGAGGCCACUCUCGCACUGCGCGAGCAAGGGCUGAUGGCGUGCCUUUUGUAGAAUGAUCCGGCGAGUGCAUGCGCGUCGCUAGGGUUAACCAGCGUUAAAGCUGGGGAGCCAGAGGGCCACCGAGUCCCAAGCGGGCGACAAGGUGGCGCGCAUGCGACCCGAAACCACGUGAGCUAUCCAUGGCCAGAGUGAAGCGGCUGUGACAGGCCGUCGAGGCUCGCACUCACCAGUGUUGCAAAACUGGGGGAUGAGCUGUGGAUAGGGGUGAAAUGCCAAUCGAACGUGGAGAUAGCUGGUUCUCCCCGAAAUGCAUUGAGGUGCAGCCACGCACAAGGACUAUCCUGGAGGUAGAGCACUGGAUGGGCUCGGGGCCAAGUGCUGGUUACCAACCCCAACC
rnacentral:rRNA from 1 species